GUUUGACACGGACCCACGGUGGCCGGUCUGGCCCCCUCGUUCGGCCGUGGCGCGAUGAC
rfam:Anaeromyxobacter sp. Fw109-5, complete genome.